UCCCUGGUGGCUCAGAUGGUAAAGAGUCUGCCUGCAAUGCAGGAGACCCAGGUUCGAUCCCUGGGUUGGGAA
rnacentral:tRNA from 1 species